rnacentral:tRNA from 3 species
GGCUUUAUAGCUUAAGUUAGAGCGGUGGUUUUGUAAUCCGCAGGUACUAUUUAGUUAAGGUCU